GAUGAACGCUGGCGGCGUGCCUAAUACAUGCAAGUCGAGCGAACAGAUGAGGAGCUUGCUCCUCUGACGUUAGCGGCGGACGGGUGAGUAACACGUGGAUAACCUACCUAUAAGACUGGGAUAACUUCGGGAAACCGGAGCUAAUACCGGAUAAUAUAUCGAACCGCAUGGUUCAAUAGUGAAAGACGGUUUUGCUGUCACUUAUAGAUGGAUCCGCGCCGCAUUAGCUAGUUGGUAUGGUAACGGCUUACCAAGGCAACGAUGCGUAGCCGACCUGAGAGGGUGAUCGGCCACACUGGAACUGAGACACGGUCCAGACUCCUACGGGAGGCAGCAGUAGGGAAUCUUCCGCAAUGGGCGAAAGCCUGACGGAGCAACGCCGCGUGAGUGAUGAAGGUCUUCGGAUCGUAAAACUCUGUUAUUAGGGAAGAACAAAUGUGUAAGUAACUAUGCACGUCUUGACGGUACCUAAUCAGAAAGCCACGGCUAACUACGUG
rnacentral:rRNA from 1 species